GCGAUGAUUAAAGAUAGCUUGCUAUUUUUAUGAAGAGCGGCGAACGGGUGAGUAACGCGUGGGAAAUCUGCCGAGUAGCGGGGGACAACGUUUGGAAACGAACGCUAAUACCGCAUAACAAUGAGAAUCGCAUGAUUCUUAUUUGAAAGAAGCAAUUGCUUCACUACUUGAUGAUCCCGCGUUGUAUUAGCUAGUUGGUAGUGUAAAGGACUACCAAGGCGAUGAUACAUAGCCGACCUGAGAGGGUGAUCGGCCACACUGGGACUGAGACACGGCCCAGACUCCUACGGGAGGCAGCAGUAGGGAAUCUUCGGCAAUGGGGGCAACCCUGACCGAGCAACGCCGCGUGAGUGAAGAAGGUUUUCGGAUCGUAAAACUCUGUUGUUAGAGAAGAACGUUAAGUAGAGUGGAAAAUUACUUAAGUGACGGUAUCUAACCAGAAAGGGACGGCUAACUACGUGCCAGCAGCCGCGGUAAUACGUAGGUCCCAAGCGUUGUCCGGAUUUAUUGGGCGUAAAGCGAGCGCAGGUGGUUUCUUAAGUCUGAUGUAAAAGGCAGUGGCUCAACCAUUGUGUGCAUUGGAAACUGGGAGACUUGAGUGCAGGAGAGGAGAGUGGAAUUCCAUGUGUAGCGGUGAAAUGCGUAGAUGUAUGGAGGAACACCGGAGGCGAAAGCGGCUCUCUGGCCUGUAACUGACACUGAGGCUCGAAAGCGUGGGGAGCAACAGGAUUAGAUACCCUGGUAGUCCACGCCGUAAACGAUGAGUGCUAGCUGUAGGGAGCUAUAAGUUCUCUGUAGCGCAGCUAACGCAUUAAGCACUCCGCCUGGGGAGUACGACCGCAAGGUUGAAACUCAAAGGAAUUGACGGGGGCCC
rnacentral:rRNA from 1 species